AAUGCCCACAUUGAUGAGAUCACAGAUGAAUACUCAAAAAUUUGUGAUUUCAAAGAUGUGGGUGUUUU
ensembl:miRNA mdo-mir-12354 mdo-mir-12354